rnacentral:rRNA from 1 species
CGGCACGGGUGAGUAACACGUAUCCAACCUGCCGUCUACUCUUGGACAGCCUUCUGAAAGGAAGAUUAAUACAAGAUGGCAUCAUGAGUCCGCAUGUUCACAUGAUUAAAGGUAUUCCGGUAGACGAUGGGGAUGCGUUCCAUUAGAUAGUAGGCGGGGUAACGGCCCACCUAGCUUCGAUGGAUAGGGGUUCUGAGAGGAAGGUCCCCCACAUUGGAACUGAGACACGGCCAA